rnacentral:piRNA from 1 species
UUCUAAAUUGGAAAGGAUACCUGGAA